rnacentral:rRNA from 1 species
GAUCCUGGCUCAGGAUGAACGCUAGCUACAGGCUUAACACAUGCAAGUCGAGGGGCAGCAUUUUAGUUUGCUUGCAAACUAAAGAUGGCGACCGGCGCACGGGUGAGUAACACGUAUCCAACCUGCCGAUAACUCGGGGAUAGCCUUUCGAAAGAAAGAUUAAUAUCCGAUGGUAUAUUUUCUCCGCAUGGUGAGAAUAUUAAAGAAUUUCGGUUAUCGAUGGGGAUGCGUUCCAUUAGUUUGUUGGG